UUUACUGGGGCUUUGCUUACAGUUCAUUAUCAGUGUCAGUUCAUUAUCAUCAUGGUGGAAACAAGGUAAGCAAGGUGCAGACAGCAGACAGAGAGACAGUGACUGGGCCUGGCAUGAGCUUUUGAAACCUCAAAGCCCACUCUAAGUGACAGGAUUAAGGCCACAGCUUUUAAUCCUUCUCAAACAGUUCCAUUAACUGGGGACCAAGCAUCCAAAUCUAUGAGCCUACAGGAGUCAGGCUCAUCCAGACCAGCACAGGCUAUGACGGUGGCAUCGGCAGACGGCUUCCAGAAACACUUGCUGACUGACUGUUGGGCUACACUACAACUGUAGUGCUCCCAUGAAUCUCAGCAGGGCAACCACACUCGCAGUGCAUGCGUUCUUUAUAUCUAGCAGAGCUCCCCUCUCAGAAGCAGGUUCUAAACGAUGGCUCAAAGGCCUUUCAGUUCCAGCAGCCAGACCAAACCCACAGCUUCUCUGUCAAGCAAUCUGACCUCUGUUAUAAUGAAAUUAAGGAGACAAAUCUACAUGAUUUCCAAGCAAAGGUGAUUUUCUUUUCUUUUUUCCUUCCUCCCUCCCUCCUUUCUUAGUGAAGAUUAAGUAUGCAACUUUUACUGGGCCAAGGAAAUACUGUGUGCAUCUCAUAGGAGCAACAAAUGUCACUACCAAGUAUGAUUUUAUGUUCUAAGUAUUUUCUAUCACAAAAGUAGACUUAAGUAAAUCUGUGGACACUCAGACGCACACGUGCGCACGCGAUCUCUGGGUUAACUCAUGCCCUAUGUCCUCAUUCCUCCAAGCACCCAUGCUCAGCAGACUCAAGCACAGGUCACAUAACAGCAGACGCAUUACGUCAUUAUGUGGGCGUUUCUAAGUCAGUAUUUACCGCCCCUCGCCACAGCUUUCAAACAGAGACCUUCUCAAUGAACAGAGGAAUGUGGCUUUGCACCUUCUGAUGUUUCUGCUCAGCUUCAUGUCAGAAGUGUACUUUUCCCUCCUCCUUCCUGAGAGCACAGGUGAGCUCCAGCCAUGCACUCGCAGAGCUUUGUGUGAGGACAUCGUAUCAGUGGCUUUUCCCCUCUCUUCAGUCAUGUAAGCCCUGACUAUCUUCUCCCCACCCACAAGAAGAUUCGACUAUCUCAAAGAGAACGUCAAAAGCCUGCCUGCUAUGUGCCAGACACACCUUCAGAGCUGAAGAUGCUGAGGUGUGGUCUCUGCACCUAAAGGACACACAUUAGUGAGUGUGUAAGCACCAAAAGCGAUUGGCCAGCUGAAUGCAGAAACACCAAGCACAGAUUUCCUGAUUUUCCCUCUCACCUCUCAGUGGUCCUGAGAAGUCCUCACGGAUCCCAUACCUACCUCUGUUUUAAAUCUACAGCAAAGUUCCUAGCAGGAAACCUACUAGGUGGGGCUGUAUCCACAUGCCUUAUCUCCACGCAGAGGCCUGCACAGAGCUGGGAAUGGCUGGACUCCGUUGUGGUGAUGCCUGUUCUGGGCCCCUUUCCUCAUUUCCUGAGGGCUUACUUCUCCACUAUUGUCCCUAGGUUCCGCAAACAAGAUGAUCAGUGUAAAGUAUUUAUUGUUUGCCUUUUCAAAUUAGUUAUUAUUUGUCAAUCAAAUUUCUAAAUUUCAGUUUUAAUAGAGCUACAUUUAAUCAAUAUGCUUACAUGUGAAAGAAAAGCAGACAUGGUUAUUAGAUGAAAUUUUCAGUGACAGGCACAAAACAUCUCCCUAUGAGUUACUGGCCAGCACAGUCCCAGAACCACCGGCAGCAGCCCAGGCCGUCAGCAUUCCUCUUGGUUGACCACCAUAAUUAGAUGGUGAGACCCUGUUGUUGAAGAUACUUCAAUACCAGGACACAAAGAAUCAACCUUGAUUAACCAGGAAAGUAUAUUUCUUUUAGAUAGCUUAUUUAGUGACAGAAGGCCCUGUGCAGGCUACUGGGGAGAGGAGGAAACAGGGUCUCACCCAGCAUUGGACUCUGAGGGCUACAACACUGGCCUGCCUGGCAAAAUACUGUUACAAUGGUGUCACGGCAGAUACCGGAGUAGCCAAUCACCUUCCUAUUAGCUAUGAUUCCUGCUGCACUGAUGGAUUUUAUACCUGUAUCUAUAAAUCUGGCCAAAAGCCCAUGACUACCAAAGUUACCAGCCCUAAGGGCAAACCCAUUGUUUUGGCUUUCUUGUUUUUUAUUUUUGCUAAAUGAUCACGUUGUAAAUCCCCUUUUAAAUUCUAUACCACAGAUCUGUGUUGCUCUUAACUUUGGUCAGAGACAACACUUUUAUAGCCAAAAUCCCAAUACAGAUGCAGGAAGGGUCCCAAGGUCCUACCCUCAGCAGCUGAUGGCGGCUGAAGGAGAGAGAUGCACCAUCCUUUGGGGAUAUGGCUGCUGGUAGGUUGUCCCCUCACCACACCCAAGGAUGACCCUACAUAUCUGUAAAUCUAAGCAACACUGACUGCGCCAGGAGGUAAUUCAUAACAGCAGCUUUUCAGAAAGACUCCAAGAUGGAGAGGAGGUGAGAGUAGGCACCAGAGGGAAAGAGGGGGGUGAUAGCGGUGGGCGGAUGGAUGUGGGUGGAUGUGAUCAAGUACAUCGUGCCAAGGCAUGACACUGUCAACUGCUUUUAACAACAGAAAGCAAAUCCUCUAGUAGCUGGUUAGACACUAAUUGAUAUCACCUUAUCACCAAGUAUAUGCUUAUCCUAAUAACAACAAAGUCAGUGGUAACUGAGUCUUGUCCUCUGAUCUAGAGUUUGAUGAGUGGCACCAAGGCACUUCUUACCAGGCUCUGGGAGAUCUAACUUUGCCCGCUUUAGUUCUGCCAUAGAAACUUGAAGUUGCUCUAUUACAAAAUCAUCCUCGAAGAAAAAAUCCUUGGCGAGAGUCUCCUGAAGAAAUUCUACAAGUUCUUCCAUAGACAACUUCAUCAGAUGCUCUGAGAAAGGAGGAGAGAAACGUAAAUGCCGGUCAACAGUGCUACUUAGGCUGAAGAGAGAUAGACUGUAGUUGAGUAUAGUGUGUUUUUAAAAAGGGUACUAAAGAGGACACACACACACACCUUACAUUUCACAUUGUGGACAUCAUUAAAACUCAGUAGGAUAAUAUUUUGACCUUAGAAAAACCAGUAGGAGAAGAAAGGUGUACAUGACCAAGUAUUUUCUCACUGGUUUAAGAGUAACCAUGCCUUGGUAUUAACAGUAAUCUACAGCAAGAGCUCCUAGGAGUCAAUAAACAUUUAUUUAUCUCAUAGACUAUCUAGAACUCUAUCUCAGACUGACAAGCCUUUUUUAACUCCACACUUAGUAUUAGAAACUUUCCCUCAAAACCAGAUUAUUAACCUUAUUAUUACUACUGAGGAAAUUAAUUUUAUUAGGAAAAAAAAAUCAAACUACAGACAGAGAGGAGAAAGUAGACACCCACUACCUUAGCUAGCAGUCCCAUACCUUACAAGGAGAAGCGUUAUGUUCAUGGCUGUCCAUGGGCAUCAACUCACAAUACAAGUGCACAGUCUGGGCUCACCUUCCCUCUUCUAUUGAAAAGCAAACGCACAUUCUUUCUCAGCUAUUAUUAACAGAGGCGUAACUGAGCAGCAUUAGUGCUUGUUUAGUCCAAUCACGUGCAUUUACAUUUGUUUCCAGUUUUCCCAUUUAGAACCAUUGUGUGAUGAAUCUCCAGUAAUACUAGCUUUAAAGCAAUCAGGAAGAAAUAAAGACAGAAAAAAGUCUUUGGCUAUAUUCAGCUGUUAAGCACCCAGAGAGUGUUUUGUUUUGUUUUGUUUUGUUUUUUCCUUUUUCCUUUUCUGUAUUGUUAUCUAUUUUUUUUUAAUCAGCAAAUGACGUAGUAUGAAACCUUAUGGCAAACUACAGUGUUUUAAUACAGGUUCCCCACUGUGGAAUGACUACUUCAGUGUGACUAUUAGAUCUACCACCAAGCAUA